GGCGGCGUGCCUAACACAUGCAAGUCGAGCGGUAACAGGUGUAGCAAUACAUGCUGACGAGCGGCGAACGGGUGAGUAAUGCUUUGGAAUCUUCCCAGUAGUGGGGAAUAACCAGUCGAAAGAUUGGCUAAUACCGCAUACGUCUGAAAAGGGAAAGCGGGGGCUCGUAAGACCUCGCGCUAUUGGAUGAGCCAAAGUCGGAUUAGCUAGUUGGUGGGGUAAUGGCCUACCAAGGCGACAAUCCGUAGCUGGUCUGAGAGGACGACCAGCCACACCGGAACUGAGACACGGUCCGGACUCCUACGGGAGGCAGCAGUGGGGAAUAUUGGACAAUGGGGGAAACCCUGAUCCAGCGACGCCGCGUGUGUGAAGAAGGCCUGCGGGUUGUAAAGCACUUUUAGUGGGGACAAAAAGCUACGGACUAAUACUCUGUGGUCUUGAUUUAACCCAAAGAAAAAGCACCGGCUAACUCUGUGCCAGCAGCCGCGGUAAUACAGAGGGUGCGAGCGU
rnacentral:rRNA from 1 species